rnacentral:rRNA from 1 species
CUGCGAGCGUGACGGCGCGAGCAGGUGCGAAAGCAGGUCAUAGUGAUCCGGUGGUUCUGAAUGGAAGGGCCAUCGCUCAACGGAUAAAAGGUACUCCGGGGAUAACAGGCUGAUACCGCCCAAGAGUUCAUAUCGACGGCGGUGUUUGGCACCUCGAUGUCGGCUCAUCACAUCCUGGGGCUGAAGUAGGUCCCAAGGGUAUGGCUGUUCGCCAUUUAAAGUGGUACGCGAGCUGGGUUUAGAACGUCGUGAGACAGUUCGGUCCCUAUCUGCCGUGGGCGCUGGAGAACUGAGGGGGGCUGCUCCUAGUACGAGAGGACCGGAGUGGACGCAUCACUGGUGUUCGGG